AAGCGGUGGAGGUAUGUGGUUAAUUCGAUGCAACGCGAAGAACCUUACCUGGUCUUGACAUCCCGGAGACCCUUAGGAAACUAGGGGGUGCUUCCAUCUGGAAGAAUCUGGAGACAGGUGCUGCAUGGCUGUCGUCAGCUCGUGUCGUGAGAUGUUGGGUUAAGUCCCGCAACGAGCGCAACCCUUGCCUUUAGUUGCCAGCAGUUCGGCUGGGCACUCUAAAGGGACUGCCGGUGUUAAACCGGAGGAAGGUGGGGAUGACGUCAAGUCCUCAUGGCCUUUAUGACCAGGGCUACACACGUACUACAAUGGCCGAUACAAAGGGCAGCGACACUGUGAGGUGAAGCCAAUCCCGUAAAAUCGGUCUCAGUCCGGAUUGGAGUCUGCAACUCGACUCCAUGAAGUUGGAAUCGCUAGUAAUCGUGGAUCAGCAUGCCACGGUGAAUACGUUCCCGGGCCUU
rnacentral:rRNA from 1 species